AAAAAGGGCUUCUGUCAUGUGAGUCGAACAAAUAGAAUAGGGCACCUCAGAUGCUUUCCGGGUGGAAUCAGCAUCAAGAGAUUUUGGAAACAUAUUUGUUUUCAAGGUAGCUGGUGAUUAUUGGUUCUAUCACCCUU
ensembl:snRNA U11 spliceosomal RNA